rnacentral:rRNA from 1 species
CCUACGGGGGACAGCAGUGAGGAAUAUUGGUCAAUGGUCGGGAGACUGAACCAGCCAAGCCGCGUGAGGGAGGAAGGUACAGAGUAUCGUAAACCUCUUUUGUCAGGGAACAAAGACUGGGACGCGUCCCCGGAUGAGUGUACCUGAAGAAAAAGCAUCGGCUAACUCCGUGCCAGCAGCCGCGGUAAUACGGAGGGGGCAAGCGUUAUCCGGAAUUACUGGGUGUAAAGGGAGCGUAGACGGUUAAGUAAGUCUGGAGUGAAAGGCCGGGGCCCAACCCCGGGACUGCUCUGGAAACUAUUGAACUUGAGUGCAGGAGAGGUAAGCGGAAUUCCUAGUGUAGCGGUGAAAUGCGUAGAUAUUAGGAGGAACACCAGUGGCGAAGGCGGCUUACUGGACUGUAACUGACGUUGAGGCUCGAAAGCGUGGGGAGCAAACAGGAUUAGAUACCCGAGUAGUC